AAUUGUUCCAAGGAUCAAAUAUUAUGAUGAAUAUACAAGUACUUAAAAUACGUAAAUCCAUAAAAAUGAAGGAUACAUUUACAUUAGUCUUCUCUUAUCUACAGGAGAUGGUUUUCGAGACCCCCAGUGGAUGCCUAAAACCGACACCCUUCUUCUUGUGAGAUGAUCAAACGCCUGUACAAUGAGUUGAAGUGAAGUAAAUUAUGUAGGCAUUGUGAUGUAGCAUUAGGCUCCUGUUGACCUUCUGAUGAUAUAUCAGAAGGAAGAUCAUCUGCUUCUGGAUGACGUUUGACCUUGACAUUGGCACACAUGGUUAUGGAUGUUGACAAGUCCAACAUCUUCAGAGGAGAACAGCAAGCUAGAGACCCAGGAAAGAGCCCCAAGAGACUCAGGAGAGAGGAGGGAGCCUGGAGAUGAAGUUCAAUCACCAAUGGCCAA